GCCCUCUCAGGACCAUACCUGGAGAGUUUCCAGUACUCUACCAGUCUUGGCUAUGGGAGGGAGAGUCAAGCAGAGACAUACCCAUUCCAUUCCUAGCUUGAGCAGUAGCUAGUAAAUGGAAGGCAAUCUGCCACAAGU
rnacentral:snoRNA from 2 species